rnacentral:ncRNA from 18 species
GCUGAACGACAGGGGAGCGCCUCGGCCCACCCGCCCGUGACCGGCCACCACCGGCCCCCGGGCGGCCCGGGUCCCGGCGCUGAGAGUGCGGUCCGCCGCAGACCCUCGAACCUGAUCCGGCUCGCACCGGCGUAGGGAGUCGGGCUUCUCAGUCC